rnacentral:misc_RNA from 1 species
UUGUCUUCUGAAAAUCAGUCUACGGACAAGAUUAAGAAUCCGUCUAUUUAUAACCAAAUGAAUUGCAUUCAACCUUGAACUUUGAACAAUAAAAAAAACAUGUACCUUGAAGAAUUACUGCCUAUCAAUACUUUGAGAAAAUAAUUAGUGUAAGAACAUAGGACGAAAUUAUUGGAAUGCAAGGAUCAUUUCAGCAAAAUUAGAAAAGUAUUGCAGUCUCAGUCUCAUCUAACCAUAGGAAGCGGCACCCAGUCGUCAACGCCAGCUCGACAGUCCCUAAUCAGUCCUUUGAGAAACCUCUCCCAAAGGAAGGCAAACCACACAGCAGCGGAGCCCCGCCUUUUCUUCUCCCGUGGCGUCGGCAAUAGCCCUUGUUUGUCUCUAUUUGGUUGAGCGCGUUUGCUUGUGCUGGUGAUGGGCGCUUCUUUCUUGCUUAAGUUAGUGUUGCUAGUCUUGCUGGUCUGUGGAGGAUAGAAGAUCCCUGCAUGGCUUCCGGUGGCCUGCUUCUGCCUCGUCCAGAUGGCCGAUGGUGCCGUGAUGAUGGAAGCUUCUAGGUAGCUUAGUUGCUUCAGCUUAGGUAGUUGGUAAUGGGCUAGGUUAGCUUUCUGGGCUAGUUCUACGGGCAGGGGUUUGAUCUUGGUUUAAGUCCUUGAGCCUUUCUUUCCAUAAUCAAGCCUUUGUACUGCAUUGCCCAAUGGGCCAUAACGCAAUUUCCACUUGCAAAUAAAA